rnacentral:lncRNA from 1 species
UGUCACUGCCCUGGGCAGAGGGGGAAAUCCCCAGAGAAAUUGUUUCACAGUGGUGUUUUCUGCUCAGGCUGCAAUGAGUACUGAUUUUGUGAAAUGUGGAUUUUUUGGAGGGGAUGUGGGUGAAGAGACAUUAUAGCUUAGAAUGUCCUGCAGACAGAACUUUCAUUUAUUAGAGUUAUUUUAUUUAUUUAUUUAUUAAGGCACGAGGUAUUUACAUGUAUAAUCCAGAUGACUUUGAGCUCAAAUUUGGUGCACUUUUCAGCUUAAUUUAAGGAAAUGUUUUACAGUGGUUAAGGUAUGAUUAUGUGGCAUGUAUAUCUGCGGUUCAGAAAUAUGAUAUGAAUUCCUGUAAAUAAGGUAUUCAAAUAUAAAUGUGUUUGACUGUUUUCUAAUGAGCCUUGUUCACAGGCCCUGCAGGGUUAAUUAGGUUCCUAGAUCUUAUCUGUACUCUAUUACACAAAAGGCAAAAACCUCUACAGGAGCUGAAUAUACUCAGAAAGAGCAAAUAAACUAGCUUAAAUGAUCACAAACUGACCAAGCUUUUCUGCUUCAGCUCCCUGUGUGCCUUCAGGCAACGGGGAUUUAAAAGCACUGAGAUUACAGGACCAUAAAAAUACACAUUUACAUUUACAUGUGGUCACAUGCAAAAUUUAAGAUUUAGAGAAAGUCACAAAGGGAAUGUUUAACAUAAGUAGUCAAGCACAGGCUGAAUUAAUGACACAGCAACCCCAGCAGAAACACAAGAAAAACAUGUAAACCUUCAUCUGUUAUUAGUUGCUGUAGCCCACACUCCAGAGCGCAGGGACGCGUGGUCAUUAAGGUCUGUUCUUUUCCUCCAGAUCUUUUAGCUGCUGUAUGAGUGGGAGCUGGGCAAGCGCUGAAGUGUAUGUAGUGAGUUCACGUGAGAGAAUUUUGUUUUGAAUUUUGUUUCCUUGUUUGAUGCUUAAAUCGCUAGUAAUAUGAAAAAAGGCAACCAGAACCCACUUCCAACCCAAAGUGGGGAGAUACUGCAGGAGCGCUCUCCAAGCAGUAUGUUGGACGCUCUAACCACGUUGUGAGGGGCUAAUAGAAGGCUGCAGACGACUCCCAGGAUGCGUGCUGCUUCCUUCUUGCACUGAUGUGAAGAAUUUGCAUUCCUGCAGCCACUGUCAGGCUGACAUUUAGCACCGCGCAUCGGCUACAGGCAAUCCCUUCCCUUAAAAGUGGCACAUCGUCCUGUAGAUGCAGGCAUUCUUUUACUGCACAGCUUCAGGAACAGACUGUCUUUUUUCUUUCUUUCUUUCUUUUUUAUCAUCUGUAUCUUUUUUCCCUUUCCUGUUUUUUCCCCUUUCCUUUUUCCCUCAUUUGCUUUAGUAGGGAAUUGAUAAUUUUUUCACGGGAGUGUCCUUUCAGAAAAUCUACACCAGAAUUGUUCAGUUUAAGGAAAUGAGUUCUGGUUGUGUAACUAUGGGUCUGCCCAUUGCACACUCAGAAACAGAAAGAGAGUGCAGGAGUUCCCUGGGGAGAAGUGCAAUCUGUCGGUCUUGAGAAAACUAUGUUGAAUUAUAAUAUAGCAAAUUAUUGUAUGAGGAUUUCUGAAGCAGGGCAUUAUUUAGCAGCUAAUUUCAAAUGGCAGGUGAGUUUCAGGAGCUGGUUGUCCCUUUGCACAUCUUUAUCUGGCAAAAAUAUGUUUUAGCUCCUUUGCACGCUACAAAUUACCAUUUUAGGCAGGGUCAGAUCCUCAGCUGGUCUAGCUCAGCAUAGUAAUGGAGAUCAAUAGUGGUGCUACUUUAUAUCAGCCCUGUUUUUAGAAUGCUAAUUGCUUAACCUUGCAAAGUGGAAAGUAUAGCGUUAUUUGUGUCAAAGCGAAAGGGAAGUCAAGCUAUCAAGAGGGAUUUUACCCCAUUAAUCACUGAAUAAACAAAGGGGGGAAAAAAGGUCACGCCCUUAUGUGCACACUUUUUCUUUUUGCACUUAAUUAGACUAAUUGAAGUCUGUGGCGUUACAGAUGUGCUGAAAGCUAAGUAUAUAAAGAAAUCCUUACAGGACAGGGACGUGGAUUGUUAGACUGGGAAAAGAAAUAAAAUCAGAUGGUCUUGUUAUUUUGUCUCUCACUGGAGUUUUCUCCUAGGAUUUGUUAUGAUUUACUGUCAUUACAUAUUAUGUAAACAGUCACUGUUUCCAUGAAGUGGGAGGUCCUGUUAAUCUUCUUCUGAGUAGCUAUUCAGCAUUGUUUGUGAACUUAGCUGGAAACAUACAUUCUUACUGUAAUGGAAUGAUUGCGAAGCUGUAUGCCCUAUAGCCUCCAGUUAUGGUUCUGACCCUAUAAGAUAUGUAGGUGGGGUUUCCCUAUUAACAGUCAACCAGUAAAGUUAGAGGAAAUCUGAGAUGAAUUCCCCACUUCCUGCUGUUGUUUCCUCUGUAGUAGAUGCUCUCGACUCAUCCAGAUCAGCAAUUGCCUGGCCUUAGGGCCCAUGAAAAUGCUUUGAAGGGAUGCUUUAUUUUGGGGGUUUAGGAGCUAACUGAAUGGCAGGUGUUUCAAAAAACAUUAAAAAUGGAGGAUGAGGCCUCACUUUGUUCCCAGCUCCCUUUUAAGUACUUUACAAAACUGCAUGUUUACUUCAUCUCUGUCCAGCAAAACCUUUGUUAUUUAGUUAUAAGGGGUGUCCCUGCUUUCUUCAACAAGUGCAAACCAACUCCAGCAAAUGCAUUGCUUAUAAUCUUGUUUACGUGCUAACUGUUAGAUCUUUUGGGGUUUCCUUAAAAGGGAAAUAAGUCUAUAGAUUAAAUGCUCUGUUCCUGAACUGUCCUGCUAGCAUAUAAGGAGUGAUUUCUUCAGUGCUGCCAUUCCAGUGAAUAUUGCAGUAGAAUCUCCUUCCAUUUUAGUCACCGUGCUGGAGUAAGUUCUCUGGUUGUGUCUCCUGUCAUCAAGUGGCACCCCAUCCAGAUGUCUGCAAGGAGGAGAUCUCCUUUGACCUGGACAGUUUGGCUUCAUCUUGGAUACCUUUUGACUUCAAAGAUUUAAUCGUGAUCACCAGUCAGAUCUCUAUGUCAUGGGCUUCAAAUCACUAGCAGGGAGACUGCUACAAUUUCAGCUGCAACAUUUGAUGUAUAAAUCCCUUAUCCCAUCUGUUCGCUUAAUCCAGGAUUCUGAAACACGUUCAGGGAACAGAAAAGGUUCCUGUCCUGCUGUCUGGGGGAGAGUUUUGGUAGCCUGCCCGGCCAACCCUAGCCCAGAGUACUCCCAGGUGUGGGAACAAGGCUGCCCACCAUCGCAUUGGCAUCAACAUAACUGAUAGCUCUCAACAUGCUGCAUCAGCGAAAGCACACAGACAAAUGAGGCUGGCCAUGGAGUCACACCAGCCUCAGCAGGACCUGUACAGAUCAGCUGUGAUCACCAGGGUUGCACAACCUUCCACAAGUGAGAAGUGGACUCUGGACAGCGAGAUAUGCAUUACAAGAUAAAGCUGUCCUGCUAUGCCACAGCAGUUGAAGAGUCUGAGCAUGCCUCAGUGGCCCUGCGCUCCCAGCACACAAAGCCAUCUGCAGCCACCAGUCAUUUGGAGCAGCCUCUCACAUGCUGGCUUUCCUACAGGGAGUUUCUCACAGCAGGAUCAGCCGCCCUUCCAGCACAUCACAGGUGUUCUCCACAUGGCAUGAGCAGCAUUUCUCUCCUCCGGUUCUGGGAGAGGAAAUUCUGCAAACCAAAUGUGAACUCAGGAAAGGGAGGUCCUAGCAAACUUGCUGUGCCAAAGGCAAACACAAAAGGCUCACCUCUGCAGUUGUGCCCGACUGAGCAGUGCCAGCAAAUAGAGGAGCGCGGUGCCAGACUCAUACAGAGUGGUACGGGGUCAAGGCAAGGCUUUUUGCUGGGAACAGGGUGUGUGCGGGCUGAAAAGCACUGAGGAGGAACUGAGGCCAUGGCUGAUCCUGGGGGGUGCGCAGAUCAGCUCUGCAGGCGAGGUUAGUGCCUUUGCUCCUCUGUCAUCACCAGUCCCUGAGAGCAAUCACCACCCACCAACAGUUCCUCAAGAUAAGACCGAGCCAGCUGGGAGAAGAAAUCCUUUGAUAUUUCCCUGCCUCGCUGACUGCGUUUUUCACAGCUCACAUCUCAGAGAGGACCAGCAGAGAUGACUGGGCACGUAAGAAUAACACUGGAGUGGUAUGCAAGGAAGGUGCUAAUCUUCUGCCAUGUGUGUAGGGCCUGGGCAGAAUGAGGCAGAGCGCAGUGCUGGAGUCUCCCUGAUCCUCCCAUGGAUAUCAGCAGCUGCCACACCUGGAGUCUGCAGCAAAGCUCCUUCCUCCAGAGGCCAAGAGCUGAGCCUACUGUUUCCAGCAAGGAAUCUUACGAUCUAUUUAUUCUCAAGAUUAAAUUUCCCUGUCCAGAACAUGUAUCAAAAAAGUCC